rnacentral:rRNA from 1 species
AGGGUUUGAUCAUGGCUCAGGACGAACGCUGGCGGCGGGCCUAACACAUGCAAGUCGAACGCACUCGACCUUCGGGUCAUAUGAGUGAGUGGCGAACGGGUGAGUAACACGUGAGAAACCUGCCCCGAAGACUGGAAUAACCCGAGGAAACUCGGGCUAAUACCGGAUGCCCCCAACUGAUCGCAUGAUCAGUUGAGGAAAUGCUCCGGCGCUUCGGGAGGGUCUCGCGGCCUAUCAGCUAGUUGGUGAGGUAACGGCUCACCAAGGCAACGACGGGUAGCUGGUCUGAGAGGACGAUCAGCCACACUGGGACUGAGACACGGCCCAGACUCCUACGGGAGGCAGCAGUGGGGAAUCUUGCGCAAUGGACGAAAGUCUGACGCAGCCACGCCGCGUGAGGGAUGAAGGCUUUCGGGUCGUAAACCUCUUUCAGCAGGGAAGAAAAUGACGGUACCUGCAGAAGAAGCUCCGGCCAACUACGUGCCAGCAGCCGCGGUAACACGUAGGGAGCAAGCGUUGUCCGGAUUUAUUGGGCGUAAAGAGCUCGUAGGCUGUUCAGUAAGUCAGGUGUGAAAACUCGAGGCUCAACCUCGAGACGCCACUUGAUACUGCUGUGACUAGAGUCCGGUAGAGGAGUGUGGAAUUCCUGGUGUAGCGGUGA